rnacentral:lncRNA from 1 species
UCGUUUUGCAUUUUUUUUUUAAAUUCUUUUUUCUUUUUUUCAUUCUUUUCCCAAUCUAAUUGCCCCUUUCUCUCUCUAUUGAGAUAAAUCUACAGAAAACUUUGGAGUCACUUUCUCUUCCUCUCCUUCUUCUUGUUCUUCAUCUUCUUCUUCUUUUGGUUCUACCAAGGCAAGGGCGUAAUUGAGCUGCAAUUGAAACGCGUUCAUGUCCUCCAUGGCUGUGGACAAAAGACGCUAAAGAGAGGUCCUAGCUGAAAAAGAAGAGUUUAGAGCCACAGAUGUCAUGGUCCAAUGAGAACAGAAUGUAGGAAACAAAAGAAGUCAAAACACAGCACAUCUCACUCAGAGUAAGCAAAACAAGAGUGCAAACCAAAGCACUUGAGUCAAAUUCACAGCAGGCCAGAGAGAGGGUUGGGUAUCAAAGCCUGAUAGACUGAACGCACACCACAUACACAACAGCAAACAAUCGUAGCAGACAGAGGGUCAAGUCAAGACUGAGAGAAACUAAAAGGAGAGACCAAGAGAAUUGAAGAGGGGGAAAGAGAAAAGCUAGGCAGUGUUCAUCUAGGUUUGAAAAUGGGGGAGAAGCAAAAACUAUUAAUUUAGGGCAACAAAAAAAACUGGCUAAACAAACUUAGGGGCAAACCAGAUCUGCAACUCGAGCCAGAAAAACCUAGCUAGCAAGAUUGGAAAAAGAACAUUCAAUUUCAAAUUUCGAUUUAGUCUGACUACAAUCUUCAAUCCCACCGCUUCAUGAUUUUACUCACAAUUGAGCUCGGAAGCAGGGAGCAAGAUCGUGAAAUCAUGUGAGUUCAUGACAACACAAGCUAUGAGAGAAGAUGUUGGCGGAGGCGAAGAAGGUCAUCGAGGACAGAUAGGAGAAAGAAGUAAGGGACAACACAAUGUCGUUUUUAAUUUUUUUAAAAUAAAAAAGGAUUUUUAUGUGUAAUAUGAGUCACAGAAAAAUCACACCUGAUAUGCCUACCAGUUAACGUAAACAAUUAAUGACUAUGGACUAACACAGUAGAAAUUUAAGACAGAAUUUUUAAAAUAUUAGGAAUCCAAUCCAAAAAAAAUUAUUAGGACUAAACUCAAAAAAACUUGUAUUUAAUAGGAACGAAAGUAUAUUUAACUCUUUUUUUUAAGUAACUUAAUUUUUAUAAGUGUCAUAUAACUCCAAACUAAUUUUCAUCAUAUAUGUAUAGUUGUAGACCUAAAUUUACUUCUCUCACUUUAAUAUAAAAAUUAUUUUCUUAUUUUGUUGAAUAUGUCAUGAAAUAUAAGUAUAUAACAAAUGAUCAAAGAUUAAUAUGUAAAUGUGUUUUAGGUCCCUUAUAAUUGAUCAAUUUUUAUUUUGAAUCUCUUAUAAAUUUUUUUGAUGCAUUGAAUCCUUGAUACAUAAUUUUUUUUUUUUAAGUUCUUACCGUCAAUUAGGUGAUGAUAUAAUGUCAUCUUAAUCGUAUAUUAUAUUAGAAAGAUUUGUUGAUAUAAUGUCAUAUCAUAACUUAACCGACUUUCAAAACUCAAAACAAAAGUUUUAAUAAAUGGAUCAGCAUCUAAUGUAUUGAAAAAAAUUAUUAGGCCUAAAGCAAAAAAUCGAUCAUUUAUGAUGACUUAAAGACAUAUUUGAGCCUUAAUAUGUAUGUGUAUAUGUUUCUGAC